GGCUAGUGUGGCAUAGUGGUUUCAGCACUGGAUUAUUACUCUGGAGACCAGGGUUCAAAUCCCAGCUCGGCCA